AAUGCAUACACCAUUAGAAGAGCUUCAGACUUCGGUGUCAACAUCCAGAUGAUCACUGGUGACAAACUUGCUAUUUCCAAAUAGACUCGACGUAUGCUCGGUAUGGGAUGAAACAUGUAUCCAUCAGCAUCAGCUUCUCUACUUAGCAAUCACAAA